UGGCCAACCCCCCCCCCCAAGGCUAUAGCCCACCCAUUUUUGUGGCCUUUUUCCGCUGGACGUACUUGGCGCCCCGGCCUUCGGGCGGUUAAUUUUGGGCACGGCUUUGCCUGCGGCCUAUUUUUGGCACACGGAGGUCCCUCGCAAAGGCUCGCGGCAUUCCGAGUCCGGCGGACGAAGUAGGCCAGCCCCCCCCCCGAAGGCUAUAGCCCACCCAUUUUUGUGGCCUUUUUCCGCUGGACGUCCUUGGCGCCCCGGCCUUCGGGCGGUUAUUUUUGGACGCGCCUUGGUCCGCGGCCUAGUUUUGGCACACGGAGGCCCCUCGCAAAGUCUCGCGGCAUUCCGAGUCCGGCGGACGAAGUUGGCCAGCCCCACCCCCCAAGGCUAUAGCCCACCCGUUUUUGUGGCCUUUUUCCGCAUGACGAACUUGGCGCCCCGGCCUUCGGGCGGUUAAUUUUGGGCGUGGCUUUGCCCGCGGCCUAUUUUCAGCACACGGAGGCCCCUCGCAAAGGCUCGCGGCAUUCGGAGUGCGGCGGACGAAGUUGGCCAGCCCCAUCCCCCAAGGCUAUAGCCCACCCGUUUUUGUGGCCUUUUUCCGCUGGACGAACUUGGCGCCCCGGCCUUCGGGCAGUUAUUUUUGGGCGCGGCUUUGCCCGCGGCCUAUUUUCAGCACACGGAGGCCCCUCACAAAGUCUCGCGGCAUUCCGAGUCCGGCGGACGAAGUUAGCCAGCCCCACCCCCCAAGGCUAUAGCCCACCCGUUUUUGUAGCCUUUUUCCGCUGGACGAACUUGGCGCCCCGGAACUUGCUGCUGCUACCUAUCUAUAAAAUGCACUACAAAAUUUUAUCACUAGAUAACAUAAAAUUUUGAACCACGAACCUUUUAAACAUCCCACGGCCUUUUUUUGGUGCACGGAGGACCCUCGCAAAGUCUCGCCGCAUUCCGAGUCCGGCGGGCGAAGUUGGCCAGCAUCACCCCCCACGGCAAUAGCCCACCCGUUUUGUGGCCUUUUUCCGCGGGACGAACUUGGCGUGCCGGCCUUCGGGCGGUUAAUUUUGGGCGCGGCUUUGCCCGCGGCCUAUUUUUGGCACACGGAGGCCCCUCGCAAAGUCUUGCGGCAUUCCGAGUCCGGCGGACGAAGUCGGCCAGCCCCACCCCCCAAGGCUAUAGCCCACCCGUUUUUGUGGCCUUUUUCCGCUGGACGAACUUGGCGCCCCGGCCUUCGGGCGGUUAUUUUUGGGCGCGGCUUUGCCCCCGGCCUAUUUUU
rnacentral:lncRNA from 1 species